rnacentral:tRNA from 1 species
GGGGAUGUAGCUCAGUGGUAGAGCGCAUGCUUUGAAUGUAUGAGGUCCCGGGUUCAAUCCCCGGCAUCUUUA